GUUCUUAUAGUUGAAGUACAACGGUGGUUUUUCAUAUCAUUGGUCUUGGUUAAAGUCCGAGUGGGAAUU
rnacentral:tRNA from 1 species